AAAUUGAAGAGUUUGAUCAUGGCUCAGAUUGAACGCUGGCGGCAGGCCUAACACAUGCAAGUCGAACGGUAGCACAGAGAGCUUGCUCUCGGGUGACGAGUGGCGGACGGGUGAGUAAUGUCUGGGAAACUGCCCGAUGGAGGGGGAUAACUACUGGAAACGGUAGCUAA
rnacentral:rRNA from 1 species